AUUAAAACAAAAGGGAUACCAUAAAGAUUUUGACCAAUUUGUAGAGAUUGUGACAGGCAACGACUGUAAAGGUAACAUAGAGGAGACAUUGUCGUAUCUAAUAAGACAAACUCCAGAAUGGUUUAUGUUUAAAAAUCUGAAGUUAAGUUUAAAAAACUGAAAUUGUAAAAACGAAAAGGGAGGAGGGGGCAUACAUUAAGUUGAUUUUUGACCCAUUUAUAGAGAUUGUGCAGCUGAGACAUUAGUGUAUCUAUUAAGACAAUUUCCAGGAUGGUUUAUGUUAAAAGAUCUGAAGUUAGGUUGAAAAAUUGUAAUUAAAAACAAAAAGGGGGGAUACCUUAAGUUGAUUGUUGACCCAUUUAUAGAGAUUGUGACGGGCAACGACUGCCUAUAGGUGAUAUAGAGGAGACAUUGGCGUAACGUUUAGGAAAAUCUCCAGAGUGGUUUAUGUUCGAAAAUCUGAAUUUACGGUUAAAAAACUGAAAUUGUGAAAUUGACAAAAUGAGAUUAGGAGGGUAGGGCACUAAAAGUAAAGUUUGCAUCAAUUUGAAGAGAUUGUAACGGACAACGACUAAAUAGGUGUUGUAGAGGAGACAAUGGCGCAUCGUUUAAGAAAAUCUCCAGAGUGGUUUAUGUUCGAAAAUCUGAAGUUACGGUUAAAAAACUGAAAUUGUGCAAUUGACAAAAUGAGAUUAGGGGGGUAGGUCACUAAAAGAAAAAUUUGGACUAUUUUAAAGAGAUUGUGACGGGCAACGACUAUAUAGGUGUUGUAGAGGAGACAUUGGCGCAUCGUUUAAAAAAAUCUCCAGAGUGGUUUAUGUUCGAAAAUCUGAAGUUACGGUAAAAUAACUGAAAUUGUGAAAUCGACAAAAUGAGAUUAGGGGGGUAGGCCAAUUUAAGUUAAUUUUGGACCAAUUUCAAGAGAUUGUGACGGGCAACGACUAUAUAGGUGUUGUAGAAGACACAUUGGCGCAUCGUUUAAGAAAAUCUCCAGAGUGGUUUAUGUUCGAAAAUCUGAAGUUACGGUUAAAAACUGAAAUUGUGAAAUUAACAAAAUGAGAUUAGGGGGGAAGGCAAAUUUAAGUUAAUUUUGGACAAAUUUCAAGAGAUUGUGACGGGCAACGACUAUAUAGGUGUUAUAGAGGAGACAAUGGCGCAUCGUAUAAGAAAAUCUCCAGAGUGGUUUAUGUUCGAAAAUCUGAAGUUACGGUUAAAAAACUGAAAAUUAUAUUGUGAAAUUGACAAAAUGAGAUUAGGGGGGUAGGUCACUAAAAGAAAAAUUUUGACCAUUUUAAAGAGAUUGUGACGGGCAACGACUAUAUAGGUGUUGUAGAGGAGACAUUGGCGCAUCGUUUAAGAAAAUCUCCAGAGUGGUUUAUGUUCGAAAAUCUGAAGUUACGGUAAAAUAACUGAAAUUGUGAAAUUGACAAAAUGAGAUUAGGGGGGUAGGCCAAUAUAAGUUAAUUUUGGACCAUUUUCAAGAGAUUGUGACGGGCAACGACUAUAUAGGUGUUGUAGAAGACACAUUGGCGCAUCGUUUAAGAAAAUCUCCAAAGUGGUUUAUGUUCGAAAAUCUGAAGUUACGGUUAAAAAACUGAAAAUUUUAUUGUGAAAUUGACAAAAUGAGAUUAGGGGGGUAGGGCACAAAAAGGAAAUUUUGGACCAUUUCAAAGAGAUUGUGACGGGCAACAACUAUAUAGGUGUUGUAGAGGAGACAUUGGCGCAUCGUUUAAGAAAAUCUCCAGAGUGGUUUAUGUCCCAAAAUCUGAAGUUACGGUUAAAAAACUGAAAUUGUGAAAUUGAGAAAAUGAGAUUAGGGGGUAGGCCAAUUAAAGUUAAUUUUGCACCAAUUUCAAGAGAUUGUGACGGGCAACGACUAUAUAGGUGUUGUAGAGGAGACAAUGGCGCAUCGUAUAAGAAAAUCUCCAGAGUGGUUUAUGUUCGAAAAUCUGAAGUUACGGUUAAAAAACUGAAAAUUAUAUUGUGAAUAUGACAAAAUGAGAUUAGGGGGGUAGGUCACUAAAAGAAAAAUUUGGACCAUUUUAAAGAGAUUAUGACGGGCAACGACUAUAUAGGUGUUGUAGAGGAGACAUUGGCGCAUCGUUUAAGAAAAUUUCCAGAGUGGUUUAUGUUCGAAAAUCUGAAGUUACGGUAAAAUAACUGAAAUUGUGAAAUUGACAAAAUGAGAUUAAGGGGGUAGGCCAAUUUAAGUUAAUUUUGGACCAAUUUCAAGAGAUUGUGACGGGCAACGACUAUAUAGGUGUUGUAGAAGACACAUUGGCGCAUCGUUUAAGAAAAUCUCCAAAGUGGUUUAUGUUCGAAAAUCUGAAGUUACGGUUAAAAAACUGAAAUUGUGAAAUUGACAAAAUGAGAUUAGGGGGGGGUAGGCAAAUUUAAGUUAAUUUUGGACAAAUUUCAAAAGAUUGUGACGGGCAACGACUAUAUAGGUGUUGUAGAGGAGACAAUGGCACAUCGUUUAAGAAAAUCUCCAGAGUUGUUUAUAUUCGAAAA